ACUCUCGUUUGUUCCUAAUCUCAAACAGAACACUAUCAACAUUUACUAUUUUCUGUGUGAUGCUUGCUCUAAGGUUUCGGUAGUUUCCUUCAAUUUGGAUAAGAAAGUUCCAGAUUUUUAUAUUACAAAUGUGUAUUUAUUAAACACUUUCCUGCGCGGAUUAAGACAAAUUAUUUUUCUUUUUUCUUUCUCGUUGACGUGACACACUGGUUAAUUUCCAAACGUUAACCCAUCUUGUAUUCCUGGAAUGAACAUGACGUGCUCUCGGUUUACAUCCAGGCUCAGGAGUAGUCAGAGAUGUGGUCUGGAUGUUCGUUCCUGCCGAAUCUCAGCGGAGAUGCAAUCCCAGUGUGGGGGUGGGGCUCGGUGGGAGGUGACUGGAUCGCGGGUGGAUUUCUCAUGAGUAGCUUAGCAUCAUCCCCUCGGUGCGUCCUUAAGACAGUGGAUCGGUUCUCCAGAGACCUGGUUGUUUAAAAGGGGUGGCACCUUCCCUCUGUCUCUCACUCCUGCUCUCAAUGGGUGAUGUGUCUGCUCCCGCUUCACCUUCCACCGACCGAGAAGAGAGAACCAGACACACUCCUUCACCGGUCACACGGCCUACCACACUCAGCCACAGCCUGCAGCACCCUCGGGCCAACAGCCGCCUUCCGGGUGUGCCUGCAGGAGCCUCCCCUCGUCUUCGUCAUAAAUCUCUCCCACUCCCCUGCCUGCCUUCUAAUCGCUGCCAGAUUCUCCGGUUGGCAGCUGAUGCCCUUGAUACAGCAAGUUCCGAAUAAUGUGCUCUGCUUUUCUCGUCUGGGUGGUUUCUGUUUACUUCCAUGAUAUUUAAAUAUGUUUGGAUGCACGCUAUCCCACCUGAUCCUACCUAGCCCUGCAAGAAGGGUACAGCUGGCAUUCCUUGUGUUUUUGAAGGCUUGAAACUUCCAAUGACUCAGCUAAAGCUACAGUGAAAGAGAAAAACGAUCCAUGACACUUGCUGAAGACAGAAAGCAGAAUUUACUCAAGGGGCAAUGGCCACAGGUUCAAGCUCCUUCCCAAUUCUGUGACUCCUGAUAGUAGAAUCAGGCACCAGACAGAGAGUGCCCUGGGCACUGAGUCCAGCCACCUGUUCCUGCUCCCACCCGCUGUGCUGACCCCGAGCCUGGAGGACCUCACAGAUAAACCAGCUCAGCAGAUGAACUGCUGCAGUGGAGAGAGAUGAGCUCAGCUCCAAAGACAGCACAAACACGGAAUUUGUAGCCAAGGAGUAGAGUGGGGUCAGUAGUGGAAAAUGAGUGAGUGGAAAUCUCAGGGUUGAGGGGACUGUGGCUAAACCCACCUAGCAGGAUUCCGGGGAAGGCAGGCAGGGUGCUUGGAUGUCACCUGGGGACACCCUUGAGGCUGAGGAGCUCACUUAGGCCUCAAGGGUGACUGAGAAGGGAAUAUGACCCUGCAGUCACCAUGGGACAAGCCCAUCAACAUUCAGUGGACUUCACUGAAAUUUUACAUAUUUCAAAGCUUUUAUUUCAGAUUCAGAUAUCGUAAAAUCAGGCAAAUAAAAAUCUUUUUCCAAUAUCUGUCCUUCA
rnacentral:lncRNA from 13 species